UACAGAGGUCCCGAGCGUUGUUCGGAUUCACUGGGCGUAAAGGGUGCGUAGGUGGUUAGGUAAGUCCGGUGUGAAAUCUCCAGGCUCAACCUGGAGGGGUCAUUCGAUACUGCCAUGACUAGAGUUCGGUAGGGGUGUGUGGAAUUCCUGGUGGAGCGGUGAAAUGCGCAGAUAUCAGGAGGAACACCAAUGGCGAAGGCAGCUCUCUGGGACGGUACUGACGCUGAGACGCGAAAGCGUGGGGAGCGAACAGG
rnacentral:rRNA from 1 species